rnacentral:tRNA from 1 species
GGGGAUGUAGUUAAUAAUAACAUUUAAUUUGCAAUUAAAAGGAACUUAGCAUAAAGUCUUCCUCA